UCAUGGCUCAGGAUGAACGCUAGCUACAGGCUUAACACAUGCAAGUCGAGGGGCAGCAUGACGGAAGCUUGCUUCCGUUGAUGGCGACCGGCGCACGGGUGAGUAACGCGUAUCCAACCUGCCCUUGUCCAUCGGAUAACCCGUCGAAAGGCGGACUAACACGAUAUGCAGUUCACAGCAGGCAUCUAACGUGAACGAAAUGUGAAGGAGAAGGAUGGGGAUGCGUCUGAUUAGCUUGUUGGCGGGGUAACGGCCCACCAAGGCGACGAUCAGUAGGGGUUCUGAGAGGAAGGUCCCCCACAUUGGAACUGAGACACGGUCCAAACUCCUACGGGAGGCAGCAGUGAGGAAUAUUGGUCAAUGGGCGAGAGCCUGAACCAGCCAAGUAGCGUGCAGGAUGACGGCCCUAUGGGUUGUAAACUGCUUUUAUACGGGGAUAAAGUGAGUCACGUGUGGCUUAUUGCAGGUACCGUAUGAAUAAGGACCGGCUAAUUCCGUGCCAGCAGCCGCGGUAAUACGGAAGGUCCGGGCGUUAUCCGGAUUUAUUGGGUUUAAAGGGAGCGUAGGCCGUCUGUUAAGCGUGUUGUGAAAUGUCGGGGCUCAACCUGGGCAUUGCAGCGCGAACUGGCAGACUUGAGUGCGCAGGAAGUAGGCGGAAUUCGUCGUGUAGCGGUGAAAUGCUUAGAUAUGACGAAGAACUCCGAUUGCGAAGGCAGCCUGCUGUAGCGUAACUGACGCUGAAGCUCGAAAGCGUGGGUAUCGAACAGGAUUAGAUACCCUGGUAGUCCACGCGGUAAACGAUGGAUGCUCGCUGUUUGCGUCUGACGUAAGCGGCCAAAGGAAAGCGUUAAGCAUCCCACCUGGGGAGUACCCCU
rnacentral:rRNA from 2 species